rnacentral:rRNA from 1 species
UCGGAGAAUAAGGACUGGGCAAGACUGGUGCCAGCCGCCGCGGUAAUCCCAGCGGUCCGAGUCGCAUCCACAAUUAUUGGGUCUAAAACAUUCGUAGCUUGUUUGUUAAGUUCUUUGUGAAAUCUUGACUCUUAAGGUUAAGGCGUGCAAAGAAUACUGAUAAACUUGGGACCGGAAGAAGUAAGAAGUAUGAUCGAGGUAGCGGUAAAAUGUGUUAAUCUUGAUCAGACUAACAACAGCGAAGGCAUCUUACUAGUACGGAUCUGACAGUGAGGAAUGGAGGCUAGGGGCGCAAAGCGGAUUAGAUACCCGCGUAGUCCUAGCAGUAAACACUGCUCACUAAACAUUGGGACCUCCUCGAGAGGUUUCAGUGCCGCAGCGAAGGCGAAGAGUGAGCUACCUGGGAAGUAUAGUCGCAAGACCGAAACUUAAAGGAAUUGGCGGGGGAGCAC